AUUGAACGCUGGCGGCAUGCUUUACACAUGCAAGUCGAACGGUAACGCGGGGCAACCUGGCGACGAGUGGCGAACGGGUGAGUAAUGCAUCGGAACGUGCCCGGUAGUGGGGGAUAACUGCUCGAAAGAGCAGCUAAUACCGCAUACGACCUGAGGGUGAAAGGGGGGGAUCGCAAGACCUCUCGCUAUUGGAGCGGCCGAUGUCGGAUUAGCUAGUUGGUGGGGUAAGGGCCCACCAAGGCGACGAUCCGUAGCCGGUCUGAGAGGACGACCAGCCACACUGGGACUGAGACACGGCCCAGACUCCUACGGGAGGCAGCAGUGGGGAAUUUUGGACAAUGGACGCAAGUCUGAUCCAGCCAUGCCGCGUGCGGGAAGAAGGCCUUCGGGUUGUAAACCGCUUUUGUCAGAGAAGAAAUCUUCUGGGUUAAUACCUCGGGAGGAUGACGGUAUCUGAAGAAUAAGCACCGGCUAACUACGUGUCAGCAGCCGCAGUAA
rnacentral:rRNA from 1 species